rnacentral:rRNA from 1 species
GACGAACGCUGGCUGCGUGCUUAACACAUGCAAGUCGAACGAAGUGGCGAACGGGUGAGUAACGCGUAAUCAACCUGCCCUUCAGAGGGGGACAACAGUUGGAAACGACUGCUAAUACCGCAUACUGAAGGAGGGGAUUGCGUCGGAUUAGCUCGUUGGAGGGGUAACGUCCCACCAAGGCGAUGAUCAGUAGCCGAUCUGUGAGGAGGAACGGCCAAUUAGGGACUGAGAAACGGCCCAAACUCCUACGGGAGGCAGCAGUGGGGAAUCUUACGCAAUGGACGAAAGUCUGACGGAGCAACGCCGCGUGAGUGAUGACGGCCUUCGGGUGGUAAAGCUCUGUUAAUCGGGACGCGGUACCGGAAUAGAAAGCCACGGCUAACUACGGGCCAGCAGCCGCGGUAAUAC